rnacentral:rRNA from 1 species
UGGAGCGUGUGGUUUAAUUCGAUGCUACGCGGAAAACCUUACCAGGGUUUGACAUGUGGGUGGUAGGAAACCGAAAGGUGACCGACUCUUCGGAGAGCCUUCACAGGUGCUGCAUGGCUGUCGUCAGCUCGUGUCGUGAGACGUUCGGUUAAGUCCGCUAACGAGCGCAACCCUCGUCGUGUGUUACAAGUGUCACGCGAGACCGCCGGUGUCAAGCCGGAGGAAGGUGAGGAUGACGUCAAGUCAGCAUGGCCUUUAUAUCUUGGGC